UACGAAGGGUGCAAGCGUUGUUCGGAAUUAUUGGGCGUAAAGGGCGCGUAGGCGGGUUUGUAAGUCGAUUGUGAAAUCCCCGGGCUCAACCCGGGAACUGCAGUCGAAACUGCAAGUCUUGAAUGCUUGAGAGGGUGGCGGAAUUCCUGGUGUAGCGGUGAAAUGCGCAGAUAUCAGGAAGAACACCCGUGGCGAAGGCGGUUCUCUGGGACGGUACUGACGCUGAGACGCGAAAGCGUGGGGAGCGAACAGG
rnacentral:rRNA from 1 species